rnacentral:rRNA from 1 species
GACGUAGGGCGCGAGCGUUGUCCGGAUUUAUUGGGCGUAAAGAGCUCGUAGGCGGCUUGUCGCGUCGUUCGUGAAAACCUGCAGCUCAACUGCAGGCUUGCGGUCGAUACGGGCAGGCUAGAGUUCGGUAGGGGAGACUGGAAUUCCUGGUGUAGCGGUGAAAUGCGCAGAUAUCAGGAGGAACACCGGUGGCGAAGGCGGGUCUCUAGUACGGUACUGACGCUGAGACGCGAAAGCGUGGGGAGCGAACAGG